GACUGAAGGCUGCAGUACUUGACCCUGUAUUUUGGGAGUUGAACAGAGAAUGGAAACAAAGUGGAAAUCAAGAAAAGAUAAUGGAAGAAGAAAGCACUGAAAAGGAAAAAGAAGUUGAAUAAAAGAAAUGGUCAUGAGUUAAACAGGCGCUUGCAGAUAUUGCUAAGCAGGUGGACUUCUGGUUUGGGGAUGCAAAUCUUCACAAGGAAAGAUUUCUUCGAGAACAGAUAGAAAAAUCUAGAGAUGGAUAUGUUGAUAUAUCACUACUUGUGUCUUUUAACAAAAUGAAAAAAUGGACUGCUGAUGGGAAGUUAAUUGCCAGAGCAUUGAGAAGUUCACCUGCUGUAGAACUUGAUUUGGAAGGCACCAGAAUCAGGAAGAAAAAACCUCUGGUGGAAGGACCAAAGGAUGAGGAUGAGCACACGAUGUAUGGUGGAGUUUCUUCCCCAAAAUGUCAAUAACAGUUGGCUUGAAAGAGUCUUUGGGAAAUGUGGCAAUGUGGUUUAUAUACCACAUUAUAAGUCUACUGGAGAUCCAAAAGGAUUUGCAUUUGUAGAAUUUGAAACAAAAGAACAAGCAGCAAAAGCAAUUGAGUUUCUUAGCAACCCACCAGAAGAAGCACCAAGAAAACCUGGCAUAUUUCCUAAAACAGUGAAAAAUAAGCCCAUUCCAGCCUUAAGAAUUGUGGAAGACAAGAAAAAGAAAAAGAAGAAGAAAGGCCAGAUGAAGAAGGAAGACAAUGUCCAAGCCAAAGAGGAAAACAUGGCCACAAGCAACACCAGUGUCAGUAAAAUGAAAAGACCCAGACCCACAUCUGAGGGCUCUGAUCUAGAGUCUUCUGAACCCCAAAAGCAGAGGGAAAGAAAAAAUGGGAAAAAGUUGACGUAUCCAGCUUACCUGAAGUCACAACAGGGAAGAGGAAGAGAAAUAGCUCUGAAGAUGCAGAAUCCCUAGCUCCCCAAUCAAAAGUAAAGAAAAUUAUUUAGAAAGACAUGGUUAAGGAAGCUUCAGAAGUUUCCAAGGAAAAUAGAGAAAUCUCUACUGACAAGGAAAAGGAUACUGGAGAUCUGAAAGAUAGCUCUCUCUUAAAAACAAAAAGGAAACACAAGAAAAAACAUAAAGAGAGGCAUAAAAUGGGAGAAGAAGUUAUGCCAUUAAGAGUACUAUCAAAGACCGAAUGGACGGAUUUGAAAAGAGUAUUUAGCGCUACAAAAAGCUAGCAUGGGUUCUUUAAAAAAAACAAUAUCCCCAAUAAAAUCGGAGUCAGAAAUGGAAACAGACAGUGGAGUACCUCAAAAGACCGAAAUAAAAAAUGAAAAAAGGAAAGCCAGCAGUGAAGAGUGUCACACCCAGGAGAAAGUUAAUGCGCCAGGACCACAGUUCAUGAGUGGAGUGAUUGUGAAGAUCAUUAGCACAGAGCCUCUACCUGGCAGGAAAACAAGUCCGGGAUACUUUGGCAGCAAUCUCAGAAGUUCUUUAUGUCGAUUUGCUAGAAGGAGAUACAGAAUGCCAGGCUAGGUUUAAAACUCCUGAGGAUGCUCAAGCGGUAAUAAAUGCAUAUACAGAAAUUAACAAGAAACACUGCUGGAAACUCGAGAUCCUUUCUGGUGAUCAUGAACAAGGGUAUUGGCAGAAGAUUUUGGUUGAUAGGCAAAACUUAAUCAGCCUCGGGAAAAGAAAAGAGGCACUGAAAAGUUAACCACCAAAGCUGAAAAGAUUAGACUAGCAAAGACUCAACAAGCAAGUGAACACAUUAGAUUUUCUGAAUAUGACUGAAAAAACAUUUACCUCUUAAUACUUCACUAGAUACUUGAGCUGUUCUUGGGAUAUUCACUUUUAUUAUGGUAGCACUGCGUAAUGAAUGUUUUUUAAUUAAAAGAAAUACCUUUAUUCCUCAACUUGUAAAUAAGACUUUUUUCUUAAGACAAAUAUGUUAUAUACCACAAUUUUUUUCUUAAACAUUGUAUUUGUUGAAGUUAUCUUAGAUGUCGAUGUCAGGUGAUUUAGUAAAUAAAUUUGUCUUGAACAUUAAAAAAAAA